UGCGGUUGUUUCUUAAGGCAGGAUCUCACUAUGUAGUUCAAGCUGGCCUUGAAGUCACUAUGUAGCCCAGGCUGGCCUUGUACUUGUGGUGAUCUUCCUGCCUCAGCCUCAUGAGCACUGGGAUUACAGGUAUGCAGCACCAUGCCUAGCUUCAGAAUAUGUUAAAAAGUCUUACAAUUCAACAAUAGAAAAAUAAACCAAUUUUUAAUGGACAAAAGCUUUAAAGACACAGUAUCAAAAACUGGUGUACAGAUGACCAAUAACCACAAGAAAAGAUGAUCAACAUCCUUCAUCACAAGAGAAAUGCAAAUAAGUAAAAACCAUAAAGCCCUAGCACUACACAGGGCUCAAAUCAAAAUUCCAACCAGUGCCCAAAGGUGGGGAAGAUGUAGGGCAACUGAUAUCUGCACCACACCUGGCUUAAUACAUUGUCUUUUGAAAACUUUAAAAUACUACUCAAGUAAACACAAUGAUUUCUUUAAUUCCAGUCCCGUCCAAUUUGUAAACUUUCUUCCAGAUGUUUUUCAUACACACUCAUUAUAUUUGUAAACAAGAAAAAGACGUACACACCAUGCCGAGGUAGGCGAGUUUGCAGCCCUCUCCCUCUGUGUUGCUCGUCCUAGUGAGCUGUGUUCCCUCCGUGGUCAGUAGAUGCCCAGCCCUCUCCGCUCCCAGCUCAGCACCCUGUACCUGUCCCUGUCCCCGUCCCCGUCCCGUCCGGGCUGAAGUGGCUUCCACGCAGCUGUGACAGGCACCCCCCACAGUCCCGGCCAGCGGGUCAGCCUGACCAGCAGGAGCCGGCGCCACAGCAGCCGGAGCCAGAGGACGCUGCGUUCUUUGGAUCUGAUACCAAACCAGCCAGAACUUAAACCGUUCUACUGACCCCGGGGAGACCUGUUCAAGGUCACAUAAGCCACUGGCAGCCACAGGAAGGAAGAGGAUGAAAUGACCAUGCUGCCCUCGGCCAGCAGACAGCCACGCCAGGCCACUGUCCUGCCGAGCCAGGCAGGGGCACCAGAGCGCGAGUCAGCGCUGGCAGCUGUGACAGCUGGAUUUCGGAAAGUUACAGGACGGCUCCCGGAGCAUUCACCCCAUCAACGUAGGAGAAGCCCAGUGCUCUCAAGGCCCAGGUGCUGCUGUGACGUCCAUCACAGGGAGACCCAGAGCUGCCACAGCAGGGUCUCCAGACUCUAUCGUGUAUUACUAAUAGAAGCCAAAGUGAUCAAUGGAACAACUCUCAACAACACAUUUCUCGUGCAUCUUAAGAAAGUAACCCUGAUGUUAACAAACACUCCCUCGACUCUUACUUACAGAAGCACUGAACAAAGGCCUUUGGUUUCCUGGUAAAGAAGUCCAAUUAAUUCAAGGACAUUGAGUAAGGAAUGGGCUAAACACAGACUGGCCUCCGACGUCAAUCUCCUCCGCUCCACCGUGACCCUGGAACCCUUAAGAUGCUGGAACACAUUUCAAGAACUCGGAUUGGGCAUCAUUGGCAGGGUCUGGCCUGGCCAGCAGGCUGUGGAGAGCAGGGCCUGAACACCCAGCAUCUGUAUUCUCCACAGACCCUAGCAUUUUAGCCAGGUAGGAAAGUUAUUCUAACCCUAACCCUGGCAAAGGUGAUAAGAGUCUUCAGGAUUUGUUUCAGGCACUUCAAGAAGUGAAGCAGCAUUUAUCCAAGCAGUCUAUAAAAUAUGAUGGGCUGGGUGUGGUGCUGCACACCUGUAAUUCCAGCACUUGGGAGGCUGAGGAAGGAGGAUUGCUGUGCGUUCGAGGCCAGCCUGGACUACACAGUGAGACUCUAUCUCAUAAAAUAAAAUAAAAUACGAUGGGACUGAAAUAAGCUGUCGCAAGGUUCAGCCCCAUGGUAUUUAUAUUGUGCCUAAUAGUCCACUGGGGCUGCUAUAACCACAUACCGUAAACCAGGCAGUUUGUGACAACAACAUGUAUUUC
rnacentral:lncRNA from 1 species